UGUGAGCUCGAUGAGUAGGGCGGGACACGUGGUAUCCUGUCUGAAUAUGGGGGGACCAUCCUCCAAGGCUAAAUACUCCUGACUGACCGAUAGUGAACCAGUACCGUGAGGGAAAGGCGAAAAGAACCCCGGCGAGGGGAGUGAAAAAGAACCUGAAACCGUGUACGUACAAGCAGUGGGAGCACGCUUAGGCGUGUGACUGCGUACCUUUUGUAUAAUGGGUCAGCGACUUAUAUUCUGUAGCAAGGUUAACCGAAUAGGGGAGCCGAAGGGAAACCGAGUCUUAACUGGGCGUUAAGUUGCAGGGUAUAGACCCGAAACCCGGUGAUCUAGCCAUGGGCAGGUUGAAGGUUGGGUAACACUAACUGGAGGACCGAACCGACUAAUGUUGAAAAAUUAGCGGAUGACUUGUGGCUGGGGGUGAAAGGCCAAUCAAACCGGGAGAUAGCUGGUUCUCCCCGAAAGCUAUUUAGGUAGCGCCUCGUGAAUUCAUCUCCGGGGGUAGAGCACUGUUUCGGCAAGGGGGUCAUCCCGACUUACCAACCCGAUGCAAACUGCGAAUACCGGAGAAUGUUAUCACGGGAGACACACGGCGGGUGCUAACGUCCGUCGUGAAGAGGGAAACAACCCAGACCGCCAGCUAAGGUCCCAAAGUCAUGGUUAAGUGGGAAACGAUGUGGGAAGGCCCAGACAGCCAGGAUGUUGGCUUAGAAGCAGCCAUCAUUUAAAGAAAGCGUAAUAGCUCACUGGUCGAGUCGGCCUGCGCGGAAGAUGUAACGGGGCUAAACCAUGCACCGAAGCUGCGGCAGCGACGCUUAUGCGUUGUUGGGUAGGGGAGCGUUCUGUAAGCCUGUGAAGGUGUGCUGUGAGGCAUGCUGGAGGUAUCAGAAGUGCGAAUGCUGACAUAAGUAACGAUAAAGCGGGUGAAAAGCCCGCUCGCCGGAAGACCAAGGGUUCCUGUCCAACGUUAAUCGGGGCAGGGUGAGUCGACCCCUAAGGCGAGGCCGAAAGGCGUAGUCGAUGGGAAACAGGUUAAUAUUCCUGUACUUGGUGUUACUGCGAAGGGGGGACGGAGAAGGCUAUGUUGGCCGGGCGACGGUUGUCCCGGUUUAAGCGUGUAGGCUGGUUUUCCAGGCAAAUCCGGAAAAUCAAGGCUGAGGCGUGAUGACGAGGCACUACGGUGCUGAAGCAACAAAUGCCCUGCUUCCAGGAAAAGCCUCUAAGCAUCAGGUAACAUCAAAUCGUACCCCAAACCGACACAGGUGGUCAGGUAGAGAAUACCAAGGCGCUUGAGAGAACUCGGGUGAAGGAACUAGGCAAAAUGGUGCCGUAACUUCGGGAGAAGGCACGCUGAUAUGUAGGUGAAGUCCCUUGCGGAUGGAGCUGAAAUCAGUCGAAGAUACCAGCUGGCUGCAACUGUUUAUUAAAAACACAGCACUGUGCAAACACGAAAGUGGACGUAUACGGUGUGACGCCUGCCCGGUGCCGGAAGGUUAAUUGAUGGGGUCAGCGCAAGCGAAGCUCUUGAUCGAAGCCCCGGUAAACGGCGGCCGUAACUAUAACGGUCCUAAGGUAGCGAAAUUCCUUGUCGGGUAAGUUCCGACCUGCACGAAUGGCGUAAUGAUGGCCAGGCUGUCUCCACCCGAGACUCAGUGAAAUUGAACUCGCUGUGAAGAUGCAGUGUACCCGCGGCAAGACGGAAAGACCCCGUGAACCUUUACUAUAGCUUGACACUGAACAUUGAGCCUUGAUGUGUAGGAUAGGUGGGAGGCUUUGAAG
rnacentral:rRNA from 1 species